GAUGAACGCUGGCGGCGUGCUUAACACAUGCAAGUCGAACGAAGCACUUGUUGUUGAUUGGAGAGCUUGCUCAAAGAGAUUCAACUUGUGACUUAGUGGCGGACGGGUGAGUAACGCGUGGGUAACCUGCCUCAUACAGGGGGAUAACAGUUGGAAACGACUGUUAAUACCGCAUAAGCGCACAGUACCGCAUGGUACAGUGUGAAAAACUCCGGUGGUAUGAGAUGGACCCGCGUCUGAUUAGCUAGUUGGUGGGGUAACGGCCUACCAAGGCGACGAUCAGUAGCCGGACUGAGAGGUUGAUCGGCCACAUUGGAACUGAGAUACGGUCCAGACUCCUACGGGAGGCAGCAGUGGGGAAUAUUGGGGCAAUGGGCGAAAAGCCUGACCCAGCAACGCCGCGUGAAGGAAGAA
rnacentral:rRNA from 1 species